rnacentral:rRNA from 1 species
CCUACGGGAGGCAGCAGUGGGGAAUCUUGCACAAUGGGGGAAACCCUGAUGCAGCGAUGCCGCGUGAGUGAAGAAGGCCCUUGGGUUGUAAAACUCUUUCGUCGGGGAAGAAAAUGACUGUACCCGAAUAAGAAGGUCCGGCUAACUUCGUGCCAGCAGCCGCGGUAAUACGAAGGGACCUAGCGUAGUUCGGAAUUACUGGGCUUAAAGAGCUCGUAGGUGGUUAAAAAAGUUGAUGGUGAAAUCCCAAGGCUCAACCUUGGAACUGCCAUCAAAACUUUUUAGCUAGAGUGUGAUAGAGGUAAGUGGAAUUUCUAGUGUAGAGGUGAAAUUCGUAGAUAUUAGAAAGAACACCAAAUGCGAAGGCAACUUACUGGGUCACUACUGACACUGAGGAGCGAAAGCAUGGGUAGCGAAGAGGAUUAGAUACCCUCGUAGUCCAUGCCGUAAGCGAUGAGUGCUAGACGUUGGAAAUAUAUUUUUCAGUGUCGCAGCGAAAGCAUUAAGCACUCCGCCUGGGGAGUACGACCGCAAGGUUAAAACUCAAAUGAAUUGACGG